AGUGUAGUUCAGUGGUAGAAUGCUUACCUAGCAUGCUUGAGUUCCUGGGUUUGAGUCCCAGGCCACUA
rnacentral:tRNA from 1 species